UUUGUCUUGCCGUGUCUAGAUGAGAAGUUCUGACAUUUUCUUACGAGAAUACAAUCAUCUGUUUUUUAAAUAUUUAAAUUAAUUCUAAUAUUCGAUGUGUCAAGUGUUGCCUGCCAUUACAUUUAUAUACAAACUCCAACAGAAAGUAAAAAAACCCAACUAAAACGUUCUUACGCACGGAGAACUAGGGACGACUGCAAUAAUUAAGUAACUAAAUGCUAUCACACCUUCCUAAAUGCGUUCCUAAUGGGGUUGGCAACUGUCAAAGUGGCGCUGGUGUGCAUUGUUCCCAUAACAUUCAAUAUUUGUAUUGGAAUUUUUGAUUAAAAAUUAUUUUAAGCACAAUGACGCGUUGUUUUGUGCCAAUAUGCUCAGAAAUUGGAGUACAUCAAUUCCUGAAGGACAAGAAAAUUGGAAGACUGUGAUUAAAGGCCAUUUGACGCGAAAAAAGUACUCCCACAAAAAGUUCGAGGUUAUGUCGUAAACAAUUUGUGGAAUCUGACUAUGAAAACAUUAGUAAAUACACAGGUGUCAAACAUUAACAUAAAUAUCUGAAGAAAGGUGCUGUACCAUCUAUAUUUUCAUGGAAUAUGAAACCAGUUUCUGAAGAAACAAAAAGUAGAGAAGUUAUGUAAUUUUAGAGAAGGAAUUGUCAAUAAAAAUAAUUAAAAAUA